GAGCAGACCGCGUGGGGGAGGAAGGCCCUUGGGUUGUAAACCCCUUUUAUCAGGGAAGAAGAAAGUGACGGUACCUGAGGAAUCAGCCUCGGCUAACUCCGUGCCAGCAGCCGCGGUAAUACGGAGGAGGCAAGCGUUAUCCGGAAUCAUUGGGCGUAAAGCGUCCGCAGGUGGCUAGGCAAGUCUGCCGUUAAAGACCGGAGCUCAACUCCGGGUCGGCGGUGGAAACUGCCUCAAGCUAGAGGCCGGUAGGGGUAGCGGGAAUUCCCAGUGUAGCGGUGAAAUGCGUAGAGAUUGGGAAGAACAUCGGUGGCGAAAGCGCGCUACUGGGCCGGACCUGACACUCAGGGACGAAAGCUAGGGGAGCGAAAGGGAUUAGAUACCCCUGUAGUCCUAGCCGUAAACGAUGGAGACUAGGCGUGGCUCGUCUCGACCCGAGCUGUGCCGAAGCUAACGCGUUAAGUCUCCCGCCUGGGGAGUACGCACGCAAGUGUGAAACUCAAAGGAAUUGACGGGGGCCCGCACAAGCGGUGGAGUAUGUGGUUUAAUUCGAUGCAACGCGAAGAACCUUACCAGGGCUUGACAUGUCGCGAACCCCGGUGAAAGCUGGGGGUGCCUUCGGGAGCGCGAACACAGGUGGUGCAUGGCUGUCGUCAGCUCGUGUCGUGAGAUGUUGGGUUAAGUCCCGCAACGAGCGCAACCCUCGUCUUUAGUUGCCAGCACUUAGGGUGGGCACUCUAGAGAGACUGCCGGUGACAAACCGGAGGAAGGUGGGGAUGACGUCAAGUCAGCAUGCCCCUUACGCCCUGGGCGACACACGUACUACAAUGGUGGGGACAAAGGGCAGCCAACUCGCAAGAGUGAGCGAAUCUCAGCAAACCCCGCCUCAGUUCAGAUAGCAGGCUGCAACUCGCCUGCUUGAAGGAGGAAUCGCUAGUAAUCGCCGGUCAGCAUACGGCGGUGAAUACGUUCCCGGGCCUUGUACACACCGCCCGUCACACCAUGGAAGCUGGCCACGCCCGAAGUCGUUACCCUAACCUGCAAAGGAGGAGGGCGCCGAAGGCAGGGCUAGUGACUGGGGUGAAGUCGUAACAAGGUAGCCGUACCGGAAGGUG
rnacentral:rRNA from 1 species